CUAUUGAUAUCUCUCUUUCUUUACUCAUCUUCUUUCUUCUCCGUAACAUCUUCCUCUGUAGCUCUUUGCUUCUUUCUCUCCUCCCAAAAUAUCUUCCCUCCGCUUGCUCCGACGUUUCUUCUUCUUCUGAGAAUCAUCAACCUCCGCAAAUUAAACACAUCGGGCAAAUAAUAAGUAACAAAAAAAGAGGGACGAACCCUAAAGGGGUCGUCUUUUUCAAUGUUGAGAACGACAGCUUGGGAUACACACACAAAUACAAGAAGUUUAUGGCGCUUUAAUUUCGUUUAUGUGGGUUGGGCUGCCAUUGAUGAGGCUAACCGACAGGUUGUGCAAGAGGUUGCUCCCAGUUCAUAAGUAAUGGCCAUGAAAUCCGGGAAGAAAGUGGGAAUGGUCACAACUGUUCUUGGGUCUCAUGGGGUUGGGCUAAUUACGCUUCAGGAUGGUUUCAAAUGGUCAGCGAAUUUAGUGAUCAAAGGAGAAAAAGAAGAUGUGAGGGUUGUCAAUGAAAGAUUUCCAUUAUCUCUCCGCUUGCUCCGACGUUUCUUCUUCUAUGUAUAUAAGAACCCGACGGACCAUCAUAUGUGAUUCAAUCGGCGUUGAGGUUGCUUCUGGUUCCAUUUUUGUUUUUAUUGGUCACUCCAGUUUGCUUUCUAAGGGCGUUGGUCUUGGUGGUGAUCGACGAGUAGGGCUCUUUACCAGAACCGCCGUCAUUGACUUCAUUAUAGUAUUGAGUUACAAUUUUGUUAGUUGUGCAGGUAUUAGAAGGAGCUGGAAGGAAUAUCAACAGUGUUGCUGCCACCAGUCCCUUCUAACAUGUGUAUUUCAUGUUUAUUUUCCAGAUCCUUCCACACUCUGAAAUAUUCGGCUGCCCUCUUUUGCUCUAACUUUGCUCAUCGUUCUCCACAUGAGUCGAUUAAUCGAGAAGACCUCCACCACCCAUCUUCGUUCCACAUUUGGGGAUUUGAUCUCGAUUUACUGUUACGGCUCCUAUAUGCUUUCUACCUAAUUACCUUCUCGGUCGAUGAGUUUCGAAAGGGGUGGAUUGGGUCAUAAUUUUUCUCCAUAAACGUCUUCAUGAUUUCGUUUGUUCACUACCCACUGUUACCAGAAAUUGGGAGGAAAGGCGAAAGACAAAUAGAAAGAUUGAGGGUUACACACGUACGAUGAGAGUUUGAAAGGGUAGAGACGAGCUUUUCUUUUCCCCAAAGAAAUUGUAAGAAUUCUUUGCUUCAUCCAAUAUUUCUUCUGUAUCGUCAUCAAUAUUUCUUUUUGUGAUUAGUUGAUCUUUCUUGGUUUUUCUUCUCAAGCUAAUAUGAAUGAUAUCGAUGUAUUUUAUCUAUUGAUUUAAAUUUUUCAAAAGUCCUUGUUGUUGGUUGUUCUCAUGGUUCAUGUUUCUUGAAAGAGUUGACUUCUAAAAAAACCAGGGUGCCUUAAUACGUCGAUAGCUUUUACAUAAAUCCUAUUAUCCAUCUCUACGUUUUUUCCUUCCGCUCCAGUUUAGCUCCAGCUCUGGUGACCGCCAUAGAAGAAAUUACCACCGCCUUCUCCUUCUCAGGUAUUGAAUCAAUUUCCUAUAUAUCAUGUUUUGAUUUUUAAUUAAUGUAAAAUUCGUAUUAGUACCCCAUUGGCAACCACAUUUGAAUUAAAAGAAAACAAAUCUUUUAAAACCCACAACCGGUUGCUCCUCCACUAAACCUUAGUUGGCAUUUCUUUUCUUUUUUUUUAUGUUCUAUCUAAUUCAAUUCUUAUUGGUAUAUAAUUUGAAUAAAUAGUGUACAGAAAACAAUGAUAAUCAUAUCAAGCCAAUACGAAAUUAACCAAACCAACAUCAACUUCAAUAAAAUAUAAACCAUUUAUUCUGGAAUUGUAAUAUUCAUCGUUAUGAAUCCUUGAAGAAUUUAUAUUGGUUUUUAUUAAUGACCAUUUACCUGUUAUCACAAUUUCCUUAUUCUUGUAUGUUGGUGUGGUUUUUGAAUUCUAGAAACUGUUUGGUGUGGUU